rnacentral:rRNA from 1 species
GACGAACGCUGGCGGCGUGCUUAACACAUGCAAGUCGAACGGUGAUGCUCCAGCUUGCUGGAGUGGAUCAGUGGCGAACGGGUGAGUAACACGUGAGCAACCUGCCCCAGACUCUGGAAUAAGCGCUGGAAACGGCGUCUAAUACUGGAUACGAAACUGGCCCGCAUGGGCAUGGUUUGGAAAGUUUUUCGGUUUGGGAUGGGCUCGCGGCCUAUCAGCUUGUUGGUGAGGUAAUGGCUCACCAAGGCGACGACGGGUAGCCGGCCUGAGAGGGCGACCGGCCACACUGGGACUGAGACACGGCCCAGACUCCUACGGGAGGCAGCAGUGGGGAAUAUUGCACAAUGGGCGAAAGCCUGAGGCAGCGACGCCGCGUGAGGGAUGACGGCCUUCGGGUUGUAAACCUCUUUCAGCAGGGAAGAAGCGAAAGUGACGGUACCUGCAGAAGAAGCACCGGCUAACUACGUG